AUACAUUGAGCUUCUUCAGCACAGCAGGAAAACUUCGCAGCGACCAAAACAUUUUAUUUACGAAGACCAGAAACCGCAUCAAAAAUAAGAGAAUUUCCUGGAGAAACAGAGUAGCGGAUUCUGCAUUAGAGCUACAGCCUCUUGCCUGUCACUUUCAGUACGAUGUUGGGGCCAGUCCUUCAGAACAAAGAUAAAAGAAGAUCAUCUCAACAUAUAUGGGAUGAUGUUGAGAGGAAUGAAUCAAAGGCACCCAAGAGCUUAAACAGUAAUGGGAUGAAGAUGAACUGAACUUCAAUGUAAUGUCACACCUGUAUAAAUGGCCUUCAAAAAAUAAACACCUUCUCAAGGAA